UACGUAGGGGGCAAGCGUUGUCCGGAAUUAUUGGGCGUAAAGAGCGCGUAGGCGGUCCGAUAAGUCGGCUGUGAAAGUCAGGGGCUCAACCCUUGGAAGCCGGCCGAUACUGUCGGACUAGAGUCCGGAAGAGGCGAGUGGAAUUCCCGGUGUAGCGGUGAAAUGCGCAGAUAUCGGGAAGAACACCCGUGGCGAAGGCGGCACUCUGGGACGGUACUGACGCUGAGACGCGAAAGCGUGGGGAGCGAACAGG
rnacentral:rRNA from 1 species